UUAGCAGUGAAUACAGUUCUAUCACAAUUUGCGGGAUUACAAUAUAAGAAUGGGUACCUAACAACGCAAAGUAGUUCUACACAGAUUUUCUUGUCACACACAAGUGAUAAUAUUUUGAAUUGUCAGUAGUUCAUUUUUGAUUGUGUUAUUUCUAUCCUAUAUCAUUUGCAUGUUUCAGGAUAUAAUCAGUAAAAAAUAUCAUUAGUAUUCAUUCGCGUUAACUUUGAGUAAGGAAGUAGUUCGUACCAAAACAAAGUUUUCGACGUCACGCUAUUUUUGUAUGUGAAAGCUGAUCUCAUCAUUUUCUAAAAGUAGGUACAGAAAACUUACAAUAUUAUUUGAACUUAAUGUAAUCUGUUUUGGAAUUCUUAUUUGGAUUUCAUGAUGUGUAACAGGUGUCUUGAUAUAUAUCUUUUGUUGUUUGAGUUGUUUCCCUUGGUUUCCCGCAAUAUCACUAGUUUUGUCUAUGUUUAAGCGGCUUUGUUUGUAAAAAGUUCAUAAGUGUUCUUAAUAUAUUGGAAAUAUGGAUUAUUGAUAGUUGGUCAGUAUUAUUUUGAGUUGCAUUUGGUUUAAACUAGUGUUUUAUAGAGUGUAUGUCAUAUAUGAUUUUUUAAUUAAGUAAUGAGUGUGGUCUGAUUUGAAAUGUCAUCAGUUUUCGUGAUUUGGAACCUUUGAGAAUUGUUUUACGAAAAAUCCGUUAAUCUAGCUCUCUGUUUACUUAAUCUCACAUUUUAUUCAUAUCACUUUGCACAUUGUGUUUAUUAUAUUUGCAGAAGUUACAGCAGAGAGAGAGUUUGACAGUAUGCGUGUUUGAAGAAGAUAAUGCUAUUAUUAUUGGUACAUUCAAUUCCACGAACUGAGUGUUGAUUUCCUCGAUUUCAUUGACUCGAUGAUUCAUUCUCUGAUUGUCAAAUUGUUGAUUGAAUGUUCUAAUGAUCAAUCAACUUAUUGAUUUACUGAUUGAUUGGACAUGUCAUGGAGCUUAAUAUAGAUGGAGAAGUAACUUAGACGUCAUACAGUUAAAUUCAGUAUUAUUGGGGUUGUUCUAACGCAAGUUAUCAUGUGUUUCGGGAUUUUCCAAGAUUUUAUGCAUCCUGGGUAAUAGUAGCCAAAAUACCGCCAUAUUGAAUUCCAAGAGGAACAUUGACAAAAAUGACGAAGCAUUUUCUACUUACAUAAGAAGCAAUAGUUCUUUAUGUUAAAACGUAUCAUACACACUUUUCUACACAGAUAUUUU